GGCCGCCUGGCGAAAUGGCAUCGCGUCUGACUACGAUGCAUCAUGUAAUCAGGAGAUUGCAGGUUCGACCCCUGCGGUGGUCA